rnacentral:misc_RNA from 1 species
GAUGAAGAACGUAGCAAAAUGCGAUACUUGGUGUGAAUUGCAGAAUCCCGUGAACCAUCGAGUUUUUGAACGUAAGUUGCGCCCGAAGCCUUUUGGCCGAGGGCACGUCUGCCUGGGCGUCACGCAUCGCGUCGCCCCCCACAAUUCUCCGUAAAGGGAACAUGUGUUUUGGGGGCGGAUAUUGGUCUCCCGUGCUCAUGGCGUGGUUGGCCGAAAUAGGAGUCCUUUCGAUGGACGCACGAACUAGUGGUGGUCGUAAAAACCCUCGUCUUUUGUUUCGUGCUGUUGCUCGCAAGGUAAACUCUUUAAAAACCCCAAUGUGUCGUCUCUUGACGACGCUUCGACCGCGACCCCAGGUCAGGCGGGACUACCCGCUGAGUUUAAGCAUAUCAAUAAGCGGAGGA